rnacentral:rRNA from 1 species
GUAGGGAAUAUUGCGCAAUGGGCGAAAGCCUGACGCAGCGACGCCGCGUGGGUGAUGAAGCUCUUUGGAGUGUAAAACCCUGUCAGUGGGGAAGAACCGCAUACGGAGUAACUGCCGUAUGCCUGACGGUACCCGCAGAGGAAGCUCCGGCUAACUCCGUGCCAGCAGCCGCGGUAAUACGGGGGGAGCGAGCGUUGUUCGGAUUUACUGGGCGUAAAGGGCGCGUAGGUGGGUCAUCAAGUCGAAUGUGAAAACCGGCGGCUCAACCGUCGGCCUGCAUCCGAUACUGUUGAUCUUGAGUACGGGAGAGGAAAGCGGAAUUCCUGGUGUAGCGGUGAAAUGCGUAGAUAUCAGGAGGAACACCGGUGGCGAAGGCGGCUUUCUGGCCCGAUACUGACACUGAGGCGCGAAGGCCGGGGGAGCAAACAGGAUUAGAAACCCCAGUAGUCC